GAUGAGCCGCCUGGGCCCGGGGGUCUGAAGAACGGGCCACAGCAAUCUUGGAGCAGGCAGCAACAAGGUAGAAGCUGCAGAAAAGAAUUCAUUCAGAGUUUCAGAAAUCGAAGAUAUCUGUCUUGAACAGGGGGGAAAAGCAUCAAAGGAACAAAGCCAAACGACUAAACAUAUGCUUCGCCACUUAUAUAUUGCACUGUGAUUUAGUUGACCCCUGAAACACUAACAGAAUGAACUGUUUUCAUUCUUCUUUUUGAGAUGUUAACUUGAUAAAUUGAUGAUUUCACUGGAAAAAUUGCAAAGCUCAAAUUCCCAUUAGUUACCUGAGGAUUCAAACUACCAGGAUCUGAAGUGGCCACCAGCACAGAAACAACAGCUGAAUGCAAGCUACAGCUUCACAAGAACUCAACCAGGACACAAUAUUUUUCAGAGAACAAACCACGACUACAGGUGAGGAAGAAUUUAUAGAUACAGGGUGAGAA
rnacentral:lncRNA from 1 species